GACGAACGCUGGCGGCGUGCUUAACACAUGCAAGUCGAACGGAAAGGCCCUGCUUGCAGGGUGCUCGAGUGGCGAACGGGUGAGUAACACGUGGGUGAUCUGCCCCUUAUUUUGGGAUAAGCCUGGGAAACUGGGUCUAUUACUGGAUAGGACCAUGCUGUAGGUGGUGUGGUGGUAAGAUUAGUUUCGGUAAGGGAUGAGCUCGCGGCCUAUCAGCUUGUUGGUGGGGUAAUGGCCUACCACGACGUCGACGGGUAGCCGGCCUGAGAGGGUGGACGGCCACAUUGGGACUGAGAUACGGCCCAGACUCCUACGGGAGGCAGCAGUGGGGAAUAUUGCACAAUGGGCGCAAGCCUGAUGCAGCGACGCCGCGGGGGGGAGGACGGCCUUCGGGUUGUAAACUCCUUUCAGCCAUGACGAAGCCCUUGUGGUGACGGUAGUGGUAGAAGAAGCACCGGCUAACUACGUG
rnacentral:rRNA from 1 species